GACGAACGCUGGCGGCGUGCCUAAUACAUGCAAGUUGAGCGCUGAAGGUUGGUACUUGUACCAACUGGAUGAGCAGCGAACGGGUGAGUAACGCGUGGGGAAUCUGCCUUUGAGCGGGGGACAACAUUUGGAAACGAAUGCUAAUACCGCAUAAAAACUUUAAACACAAGUUUUAAGAUUGAAAGAUGCAAUUGCAUCACUCAAAGAUGAUCCCGCGUUGUAUUAGCUAGUUGGUGAGGUAAAGGCUCACCAAGGCGAUGAUACAUAGCCGACCUGAGAGGGUGCUCGGCCACAUUGGGACUGAGACACGGCCCAAACUCCUACGGGAGGCAGCAGUAGGGAAUCUUCGGCAAUGGACGAAAGUCUGAACGAGCCACGCCGCGUGCGUGAAGAAGGUUUUCGGUUCGUAAAACUCUGUUGGUAGAGAAGAACGUUGGUGAGAGUGGAAAGCUCAUCAAGUGACGGUAACUACCCAGAAAGGGACGGCUAACUACGUG
rnacentral:rRNA from 1 species